GUGCAACCUAAUUUAGGGUAUUGGAAUCUGGCCCUUAAUAAUACAUUAAUUUUUAGAAUGCUGUAAUUUUUUUUAUAUAGAAAAAUGCCAGAAUAGCAGCAGAAAAGCAUUACUCUGAUAUACUGAGAGAACUGGGGAUUUGUGAGGAGUUCCUUUCAAAAAAACAUCAAACUGCUAAAUUGCUGGACCAGUCCAAUGCUAAAGGCUUUGGAAGCUGCACUGAAGACAGAGAAAGUCUUAAUGAAGAUAACGUUCACGAAAGAGAAUCCUGUGAUGGGGAGAAGGCAAAUCCUCACUAUGACCAAUCCUGUGGGGAGGAGGAGACAAGCUCAGAGUCUGACCAAUCCUGUGGGGAGGCGGAAGAGGAGAAAGCAAGCUCAGAGUCUGACCAAUCCUGUGAGGACGAGGAAGAGGAGGAGGCAAGCUCAGAGUCUCACCAAUCCUGUGAAGAGGAGGAAGAGGAGAAGGCAAGCUCUAAUCAUGAUGAUGAGGAUGUUGUGGAAUGUGAGGAUGAUAAGCAUGAAGAUGGUUUAGAAGAAAAACCUAGUAAUGCUGAAGCUAACUGAUAGCAAGGAAGGCAGACUUACUUCUCUUACUGCCUUGGAGCUCAACACAAAUUUUAUUGCUGGCAAUGGGUAUACUAAAGAAAAACCUGACUCUUGGUGCUAUGGGCAUUUUGAACUGCAUACACGUAGGUCUUAUGUGAAUUUCCAUUUGUUAGCAUAAUAUAACUUCUGAUGCUGAAUUUGCUUUUUUUUCCAGUAAGAAAAAAUUAUCAUUACUCAUUUCCAUUAGCAGUUGCACUUGUCAGUGUAUGCUUUAUUCUACACUUUCAUUGCGUGAGCCCAUUUCUCUGUUCAGAAAUACUAACUACAGUUUAAAACUCACCUCUUCCAUUCCUGUUGGCUAAUACUUAGGCUUUUACAUUUCUAGCUCUUUGCGUUCAUGCUGACAAAAUAGGGUGGGAAGCAGUCAUCAGGAAGGAGAAACAGUGGCGUUACUCCAUAAGCAAAGAUCUUAGAGCAACAUUACCUUUCAUUUCAGCACUUCUAGGAUCUGCUCAGUUUUAACCAGUCCUGAAUACAUUUUCCCAUUAUGGCAGUGGAAAUUUGGGUGUAACUCUCAUUAAGGAUGAUGAUGGGAGUUACUUGUGUAAAUCCUUUGGCCAUCACUGGCCAAGUGGUAGCCAGGGACACCAAAAUGCCAACUUACUAUGCAGCUGGACUGUCCUUGCAACUGCUUAAUGAAUGCUCCUUUUAAUAUAAUUUAUUAAUAGCACCCCGCAUACUAGGGCUCUUGGGUCACUGAACAGGAUAACAAAACCACGACUAACAUACAAUAAACACAUAUGGAGCCCCUCA
rnacentral:lncRNA from 1 species